rnacentral:rRNA from 1 species
GACGAACGCUGGCGGCGUGCUUAACACAUGCAAGUCGAACGGAAAGGCCCAGCUUGCUGGGUACUCGAGUGGCGAACGGGUGAGUAACACGUGGGUGAUCUGCCCUGCACUCUGGGAUAAGCCUGGGAAACUGGGUCUAAUACCGGAUAUGACCAACUGUCGCAUGGUGGUUGGUGGAAAGCUUUUGCGGUGUGGGAUGGGCCCGCGGCCUAUCAGCUUGUUGGGGGGGUAAUGGCCUACCAAGGCGACGACGGGUAGCCGACCUGAGAGGGUGAUCGGCCACACUGGGACUGAGACACGGCCCAGACUCCUACGGGAGGCAGCAGUGGGGAACAUUGCACAAUGGGCGCAAGCCUGAUGCAGCGACGCCGCGUGAGGGAUGACGGCCUUCGGGUUGUAAACCUCUUUCACCAGGGACGAAGCGUGAGUGACGGUACCUAUAGAAGAAGCACCGGCCAACUACGUGCCAGCCGCCGCGGUAACAC